AACGAACGCUGGCGGCAUGCCUAACACAUGCAAGUCGAACGAGACCUUCGGGUCUAGUGGCGCACGGGUGCGUAACGCGUGGGAACCUGCCCUUAGGUUCGGAAUAACUCCCCGAAAGGGGUGCUAAUACCGGAUAAUGUCUUCGGACCAAGAUUUAUCGCCUUUGGAUGGGCCCGCGUUGGAUUAGCUAGUUGGUAGGGUAAAAGCCUACCAAGGCGACGAUCCAUAGCUGGUCUGAGAGGAUGAUCAGCCACACUGGGACUGAGACACGGCCCAGACUCCUACGGGAGGCAGCAGUGGGGAAUAUUGGACAAUGGGCGAAAGCCUGAUCCAGCAAUGCCGCGUGAGUGAUGAAGGCCUUAGGGUUGUAAAGCUCUUUUACCCGGGAUGAUAAUGACAGUACCGGGAGAAUAAACUCCGGCUAACUCCGU
rnacentral:rRNA from 1 species